GCCGGGACGGGGCAGCCGUCGAACACGACGUCGUGGCUUCCGGUGCCGCGCAUGCCCAGUGCGUCCCAGGUGCGUUCGACACGCAGUCCCGGCG
rnacentral:tRNA from 1 species